UACGUAGGGCGCAAGCGUUGUCCGGAAUUAUUGGGCGUAAAGAGCUCGUAGGCGGUUUGUCGCGUCUGCUGUGAAAACCUAAGGCUCAACCUUGGGCUUGCAGUGGGUACGGGCAGACUAGAGUGCGGUAGGGGUGACUGGAAUUCCUGGUGUAGCGGUGGAAUGCGCAGAUAUCAGGAGGAACACCGAGUGGCGAAGGCAGGUCACUGGGCCGCAACUGACGCUGGAGGAGCGAAAGCAUGGGGAGCGAACAGG
rnacentral:rRNA from 1 species